ACGGGAGGCAGCAGUGGGAAAUUGGACAAUGGGCGCAAGCCUGAUCCAGCAAUGCCGCGUGUGUGAAGAAGGCCUGCGGGUUGUAAAGCACUUUCGGGGGGGAAGAAAAGUUGAGCGCUAAUACCGUUUAAUCUUGACGUUACCCAGAAGAAGCACCGGCUAACUCCGUGCCAGCAGCCGCGGUAAUACGGAGGGUGCGAGCGUUAAUCGGAAUUACUGGGCGUAAAGGGCACGUAGGCGGUUUGGUAAGUCGGAUGUGAAAGCCCUGGGCUACCUGGGAAUUGCAUUCGAUACUGCCAAGCUAGAGUACGAGAGAGGGGGGUAGAAUUCCUGGUGUAGCGGUGAAAUGCGUAGAUAUCAGGAGGAAUACCAGUGGCGAAGGCGGCCCCCUGGAUCGACUGACGCUGAGGUGCGAAAGCGUGGGGAUCAAACAGGAUUAGAUACCCUGGUAGUCCACGCCGUAAACUAUGUCGACUAGCCGUUAGGUCCAUUUAAGAACUUGGUGGCGAAGCUAACGCGAUAAGU
rnacentral:rRNA from 1 species